rnacentral:antisense_RNA from 4 species
UUUUAUGGCGGUUGCGCGCGGGAGAUCUUUGGGUCUGCCGAGUUUGAUUCCUCUUCGGUCUGCGAACCCGCGCGUAGCUGCCACCCGU